rnacentral:lncRNA from 1 species
UUAUGUAGCUGGCCCUGUCUGUUACAGUGAUUUUCCUCAUCUCACCUUUGCUAGCAGGUUGUUUUCUUUUGAAAUGAGUGGAUAGAAUGAAAAUAACAUCAUAUUUUCCUUGUUUUUUUCCCCUACGCAACUGAGUGCUUUUAUGGGGUUUUUCACUGGUCAGAUCCACUCCUAAGGCACAAGGGUUCCAAUGACACUUUCUUACAAAGGUCAUUGUCCUAAGUACUCCAGGUAUUAAUGUCUGAACAAAUGAGUCUAUUGGAUUUUUUUUUUUCCAGGUAAUCCAAGGCACCAUCACCUGAGAGAUUUUUGUGAUGUUUGUAAUAUCCUUGUACGUACUUUUGCUAUUGUCUGUGUUGAUUAGCAAUAUCAUCUGAUAGUCACAAAGACUUAUCCACUGACCUCUACAGGAUGUCGGAAAGGGUGCCCGUUGGUUUCCCUACAGUUUUUUGAUUGGACUACUUCCCUGAGCAGAGUGGAAAAGUUCCAGGGUGAAUCAUGUCUCCAGAUUGGCCCUGAGCUAACAUCUGUGCUGAUAUUCCUCUAGUUUGUAUGUGGGAUGCUGCCACAGCAUGGCUUGGCAGAGGAAGAUUGUAUACAGAAGAAGAGGAGAAGGCAGAGACUGGAGUGAGGUGUCAACAAGCUACGUGUAUUAAUCAGAGUUCUCUAGAGAAACAGAACCCGUAGAGAUUCAUUAUAGGGCUUGACCCAGGUGGUUAUGGAGGCAGAGAAGUCCCAUGAUCUGCUGUCUGCAAUCUGGAGAACUAGGAAAGCCAGCGAUGUAAUUCAGUCCACGUUCAAGGCCUGAGAAUCGAGGGGGCUGAUGGUGUGAGUCCCGGUCUGAUUCUGAAAACCCAGGAACCAGGAGUCCUGAUGUCUGAGGGCAGGAGAAGAUGGAUGUCUCAGCCCAGGCAGAGAGCGAAUUCACCCUUCCUCUGCCUUUUUAUUCUAUUCAAGCCCUCAAUAGACUGGAUGAUGCCCGCUCACACUGGUGAGAGCAAUCUUCUUUACUCAGUCGAAUUCCAAUGUAAUCUCAUCUGGAGGUACUCGUACAAACACUGAUGUUUAACCAACUAUCUGAGCAUCCUUUAACCUCAUCAAGUUGACACAUAAAAUUAACCAUCACACCAAGAAAUUCUGGCAGUCACCAGAAGCUGGAAGCAGCAAGAAUGAAUCUCCUCUAGAGUCUUUGGAAGGAGUGUGACCCUGCUCCUCCUGUGAUUUUGGUCAAGUGAUACUGAUUUUGGACUUCUGGCCUCCAGAACUG